AAAAUCGGAGCAGGGUGAGUCGGCCCCUAAGGCGAGGCCGAAAGGCGUAGUCGAUGGGAAACGGGUUAAUAUUCCUGUACUUCUAAUCAUUGCGAUGGGGGGACGGAGAAGGCUACAUCAGCACAGCGUUGGUUGUCUGUGUUUAAGGUUGUAGGUGGACUGCUUAGGUAAAUCCGGGUGGUUAACACUGAGAACUGAUGACGAGCACUCCUUCGGGAGCGCGAAGUGAUGGAUGCCAUGCUUCCAAGAAAAGCCUCUAAGCUUCAGAUGAUUAGGAACCGUACCCCAAACCGACACAGGUGUCAGAUAGAGAAUACCAAGGCGCUUGAGAGAACUCUGGUGAAGGAACUAGGCAAAAUAGCACCGUAACUUCGGGAGAAGGUGCGCUGCUGGUGGUGAAGGACUUGCUCCGUAAGCUACUGGCAGCCGAAGUAACCAGGCCGCUGCAACUGUUUAUUAAAAACACAGCACUCUGCAAACACGAAAGUGGACGUAUAGGGUGUGACGCCUGCCCGGUGCCGGAAGGUUAAUUGAUGGGGUCAGCCGCAAGGCGAAGCUCUUGAUCGAAGCCCCGGUAAACGGCGGCCGUAACAAUAACGGUCCUAAGGUAGCGAAAUUCCUUGUCGGGUAAGUUCCGACCUGCACGAAUGGCGUGAUGAUGGCGGCGCUGUCUCCACCAGAGACUCAGUGAAAUCGAAAUCGCGGUGAAGAUGCCGUGUACCCGUGGCUAGACGGAAAGACCCCGUGAACCUUUACUGUAGCUUCACACUGGACUUUGACAUGAUCUGUGUAGGAUAGCUGGGAGGCUUUGAAGCUAAGACGCCAGUCUUAGUGGAGCCGUCCUUGAAAUACCAGCCUGGUCCUGUCGGGGUUCUAACGUAGACCCGUUAUCCGGGUUGCGGACAGUGUGUGGUGGGCAGUUUGACUGGGGCGGUCUCCUCCCAAAGAGUAACGGAGGAGCACGAAGGUGCGCUAAUCACGGUCGGAAAUCGUGAGGUUAGUGUAAAGGCACAAGCGCGCUUGACUGCGAGACAGACAAGUCGAGCAGGUACGAAAGUAGGUCUUAGUGAUCCGGUGGUUCUGUAUGGAAGGGCCAUCGCUCAACGGAUAAAAGGUACUCCGGGGAUAACAGGCUGAUACCGCCCAAGAGUUCAUAUCGACGGCGGUGUUUGGCACCUCGAUGUCGGCUCAUCACAUCCUGGGGCUGAAGCCGGUCCCAAGGGUAUGGCUGUUCGCCAUUUAAAGUGGUACGCGAGCUGGGUUUAGAACGUCGUGAGACAGUUCGGUCCCUAUCUGCCAUGGGCGUUGGAGAUUUGAGAAGAGUUGCUCCUAGUACGAGAGGACCGGAGUGAACGAACCUCUGGUGUACCGGUUGUCACGCCAGUGGCAUUGCCGGGUAGCUAAGUUCGGACGGGAUAACCGCUGAAAGCAUCUAAGCGGGAAGCCUCCUUCAAGAUGAGAUCUCCCUGGGGCUUUAAGCCCCCUAAAGGGCCGUCGAAGACUACGACGUUGAUAGGCAAGGUGUGGAAGCGCUGCGAAGCGUUGAGCUGACUUGUACUAAUUGCCCGUGCGGCUUGAAAAA
rnacentral:rRNA from 1 species